rnacentral:rRNA from 1 species
UACGGAGGAUCCGAGCGUUAUCCGGAUUUAUUGGGUUUAAAGGGUGCGUAGGCGGUUUGAUAAGUUAGAGGUGAAAUGUCGGGGCUCAACCCCGAAACUGCCUCUAAUACUGUUGGACUAGAGAAUAGUUGCGGUAGGCGGAAUGUAUGGUGUAGCGGUGAAAUGCUUAGAGAUCAUACAGAACACCGAUUGCGAAGGCAGCUUACCAAACUAUAUCUGACGUUGAGGCACGGAAGCGUGGGUAGCAAUCAGG